GACGAACGCUGGCGGCGUGCUUAACACAUGCAAGUCGAACGGAAAGGCCCUGCUUUUGUGGGGUGCUCGAGUGGCGAACGUGUGAGUAACACGUGAAUAACCCGCCCUUUACUUUGGGAUAACUUCAGGAAACUGGGGCUAAUACCGGAUAGGAGCUCCUGCUGCAGGGUGGGGGUUGGAAAGUUUCGGCGGUUGGGGAUGGACUCGCGGCUUAUCAGCUUGUUGGUGGGGUAGUGGCUUACCAAGGCUUUGACGGGUAGCCGGCCUGAGAGGGCGACCGGCCACAUUGGGACUGAGAUACGGCCCAGACGGCUACGGGAGGCAGCAGUGGGGAAUAUUGCACAAUGGGCGGAAGCGUGAUGCAGCAACGCUGCGUGCGGGAUGACGGCCUUCGGGUUGUAAACCGCUUUCGCCUGUGACGAAGCGGGAGUGACGGUAAUGGAUAAAGAAGCACCGGCUAACUACGUG
rnacentral:rRNA from 1 species